rnacentral:rRNA from 1 species
UAGUAAUGGCGAAUGAACAGGGAAAAGCCCAAUUUUAAAAUCACUUGACUGUGAAUUGUAGUUUAUAGGAGGGUAGAACUGUACUGCCUUGUUAAGUCUCUUGAAAAGGAGCUACAGAGAGGGUGAAAUCCCCGUUUUGGCGCAAGUAGUAGUAUAGAACUUAACUCUAAAGAGUCAUGUUGCUUGAGAAUGCAGCAUAAAAUGGGUGGUAAAUUCCAUCUAAGGCUAAAUAUUGGUAAGAGACCGAUAGCAAACAAGUACCGUAAGGGAAAGAUGAAAGAGAACCUUGAAAAGGGGCUCAAAAGAAAGUGAAAUUGUUUCAAGGAAAGCGUUUAAAGCUUUUAAAACAUGGGCAUCAAUUAGAGGGGAGCAAGCCCUUUGUUAUUGAUGCAUGUGUGGCUAUUGCUCUGGUUUGAGCUUAUGAGGGCUAAAGGGAAGGUAUUUUGAGAUUGCGCUCGAUUUCUUACAGGCCUUUUAGCAAUGUAAAGUUUGGGCCAGUGGUAAAAGUCAUAUGGUGGCGCUCUUGGGGUUAAUGUUGCAGUAGACUUGCCUAGAGUAAUGUUUGCCCUUGGGCCUAGAACUGCUAGAUGCUUAAAUAGUCAUAAAGACUUAAACGACCCGUCUUGAAACACGGACCAAGGAGUCUAACAUAGAUGCAAGUAAUAGGGCUUAAAGCCAAUGCGCAAUGAAAGUGAUUUCAGGGUAGGAACCUGCAAAGGCGCACUAUCAACUGAGCUAUAGGGAUUCUUUCCUGCGGCUUGAGUGAGAGCAUCUAUGUUGGUACCCGAA